UCAUGAGUACGUAGUUUCCUUGCAUCGACCUUCUUGGGUUAGGUACUGUUUAUUAAUUAAUUAAUACCAAAGAAAGGAAGAAAAUAAAAACAGCUGAAAUUAGCACACACGUGUGUAUAUAUAUGGUGCAUGGGUGAAUAGGUUUGCAUUGCCUUUCUUUGAAAGAUCAAUGGGUUUCUCUUUAGUCUUCCGUCCUCUCAUGAUUUUAAUUAUUUUGAUCCUCUCCAUGAUCUUCACUGUGCAGCCAACUCGGGUUCAAGCUGCAGAUAUCACGCCUAGAAAACGAGCCUUCCCGCAGCAGAUUAGACCACCUCCUUCCCCAGGACACAGGCCAGGCGCACCUCCGGGAAAUUAGGAUGCAACGCCACCAGCUGAACCACCUCUCAUACCUUGAAGCUAGCUGAGUCAAUGCUCUCAAUCAGUAUUAAGUUUAAAUGUUAAUUAGAUCGGAGUAAUUAAGUGAAUAAAGGAUGGCAACACUGAAUGCAGCUAGCAUCCUUCUUGCUAAGUAAUGACAAUUGAGGCCGGGGACUCAAAAAUGUCUCGUUCGUAUAUAUAUAUGUACUGUGUGUCACGUGUGCGUUUUUGCUUUUCGAAAAGAUUGUUAAUCCCAAAGUUUGUACGUAGUAUAAGGUGUUCGAUUGGAGAAGAAAGAGCUCAGCGUUGUUUGAUCAAUUAUGUUUCUACGAACAGUAUAAUAUGUAACCAACAUCCUGCGCCCAGCCAAUCACUUUCCCUUGUUCUAUUUUCCAUGGGACUUUAUGCAACUGAGCUUUAAAAGUCUUUUGGAUUCUCAUGCUAGAUCUCACUCGUUAUUAACGUAUUAUAUUACUCACUCUGUUGUAUGUGCCCAUUCUAUAUAUACUUCUACUUCCAUAA